UCCUGGCUCAGAUGAAACGCUGGCGGAAUGCUUUACACAUGCAAGUCGAACGGCAGCACGGGGGCAACCCUGGUGGCGAGUGGCGAACGGGUGAGUAAUACAUCGGAACGUGCCCAGUCGUGGGGGAUAACGUAGCGAAAGCUACGCUAAUACCGCAUACGAUCUACGGAUGAAAGCGGGGGAUCGCAAGACCUCGCGCGAUUGGAGCGGCCGAUGGCAGAUUAGGUAGUUGGUGGGGUAAAGGCUCACCGAGCCUGCGAUCUGUAGCUGGUCUGAGAGGACGACCAGCCACACUGGGACUGAGACACGGCCCAGACUCCUACGGGAGGCAGCAGUGGGGAAUUUUGGACAAUGGGCGCAAGCCUGAUCCAGCCAUUCCGCGUGCAGGAUGAAGGCCCUCGGGUUGUAAACUGCUUUUGUACGGAACGAAAAGGCUCUCUCUAAUACGGGGGGCUCAUGACGGUACCGUAAGAAUAAGCACCGGCUAACUACGUGCCAGCAGCCGCGGUAAUACGUAGGGUGCAAGCGUUAAUCGGAAUUACUGGGCGUAAAGCGUGCGCAGGCGGUAAUGUAAGACAGUUGUGAAAUCCCCGGGCUCAACCUGGGAACUGCAUCUGUGACUGCAUUGCUGGAGUGCGGCAGAGGGGGAUGGAAUUCCGCGUGUAGCAGUGAAAUGCGUAGAUAUGCGGAGGAACACCGAUGGCGAAGGCAAUCCCCUGGGCCUGCACUGACGCUCAUGCACGAAAGCGUGGGGAGCAAACAGGAUUAGAUACCCUGGUAGUCCACGCCCUAAACGAUGUCAACUGGUUGUUGGGUCUUCACUGACUCAGUAACGAAGCUAACGCGUGAAGUUGACCGCCUGGGGAGUACGGCCGCAAGGUUGAAACUCAAAU
rnacentral:rRNA from 1 species